GAUCCUAUCCACUGAAUCGGUUCUAGCGGGGAACAGCCGCUAGAGUUAACGGGGAAAGCGCAGUGAAAAUCUGCCACUGUCCCGCAGCUGUGAAGCAGGUUCUGACCUUUUACUGCGCCCAAGGCUUAAAGUCUUGUCGUGGAAAAGAAUUCAGGUUUUAGCCUGGAUGGAGUCGUACCUCUGAGUCAGAAUGCCCGCCGAUGCUGAUUACCCCAA
rnacentral:ncRNA from 2 species